rnacentral:rRNA from 1 species
GAUGAACGCUGGCGGCGUGCCUAAUACAUGCAAGUCGAGCGGACCAAAGAGAGCUUGCUCUCUGAGGUUAGCGGCGGACGGGUGAGUAACACGUGGGUAACCUGCCUGUAAGACGGGGAUAACUUCGGGAAACCGAAGCUAAUACCGGAUGAUAAAGAGAAACGCCUGUUUCUCUUUUGAAAGUCGGCCUUGUGCUGACGCUUACAGAUGGGCCCGCGGCGCAUUAGCUAGUUGGUGAGGUAACGGCUCACCAAGGCGACGAUGCGUAGCCGACCUGAGAGGGUGAUCGGCCACACUGGGACUGAGACACGGCCCAGACUCCUACGGGAGGCAGCAGUAGGGAAUCUUCGGCAAUGGACGAAAGUCUGACCGAGCAACGCCGCGUGAGCGAUGAAGGCCUUCGGGUCGUAAAGCUCUGUUGUCAGAGAAGAACAAGUACCGGAGUAACUGCCGGUACCUUGACGGUACCUGACCAGAAAGCCACGGCUAACUACGUGCCAGCCGCCGCCGUAA